rnacentral:rRNA from 1 species
AGUGAACGCUGGCGGUAGGCCUAACACAUGCAAGUCGAACGGCAGCACAGUAAGAGCUUGCUCUUACGGGUGGCGAGUGGCGGACGGGUGAGGAAUACAUCGGAAUCUACUUUUUCGUGGGGGAUAACGUAGGGAAACUUACGCUAAUACCGCAUACGACCUACGGGUGAAAGCAGGGGAUCUUCGGACCUUGCGCGAUUGAAUGAGCCGAUGUCGGAUUAGCUAGUUGGCGGGGUAAAGGCCCACCAAGGCGACGAUCCGUAGCUGGUCUGAGAGGAUGAGCAGGCAGGCAGGGAGGAAUAUACGGUGAAGGGCGCAAGGGGGGGCAAGAGAGGGGGGUAUUGGACAAAGGGCGCAAGGGUGAUACAGCCAUACUGCGGGGAUGAAAAAGGCCUUCGGGAAGUAAAGGCCGUUUGAAGGGAAACAAAAGCAGAAGGCUAGGACACCGCUGUGCUAGCGGUACCCUAAGAAUAAGCACCGGCUCACGUCC